GGAGUGCUGCUGGUACCAGCCUCCUGUUCCUGACAAGACUUUGGGAAACUGUUAGCAGGGCCUUAGGAGCACUUUUGCUCUUGGGGGGCAGCCUUGCUCUAUUGCUCGUUGGCACUGAGGGAAGCUCUCUGGGGAGAGGAGCCCACCAAUGCUUGGCUGACAAGACCUCAGUCAUGUCUGAUGUGGCUUCACCUUUGCUGCCGUCUUCGUAUCACUAGGGGAGCCCUGUGGAGUGGGGUGGAGUUCAAGAUGGAUUCUCAAGAAGUUAUAGGAAGCUCUUUAUCAAUUCAAUUCCUGAGAAGGGCCCACUUCAGGGAUGUUACAGUGCAGACAAAGAUUCUGGUGCCUCACAAGAUUUGACACAAGCCAGCGCUUUGUUGUUUUUCUCACCUGUUGGCCAGAAGAUUAUCUUGGAGCAGGAAAAGGAGCCAAGAGAAGCCUCUGAAGGAUUGUAAACAGAAGAAUGAUCCAAUUGUGUUUGUAAAUUAAAAGGUCACCCUGGCUGCUUUGUGGGAAAUGGAUCUGAAUGGGUGGGAAAAGAAUGAAGCCAGGUAGAAGUUGGGAAAUCAGUUAGGAGGCUGUAAAGAAGUCCAAGUGGAAGAUGAUGAUGGCCCAGCUAGGACGGCAGCCGAAUGAAUGGGAGAAGGUUUAUCAAUUCCUCUGAUUUUCCAUCUCUCAAUAGGGAUCGUGGAUGCUGUAUGAAGCUUAAAUUCCUAAGAACCAUAGACACUGUUCAAACACAAGACAGUGCCCCAUUAGAGGAAUGAAGCUCUCAAUCUAGGUGGGAAACACAUAGAAUCCUUAAGAAAGAAGCUUACUCGUAUUUACAAAGAAUAGCCAAGCAUGGACCGUGGUCUUCCUUGUAGUUAAUGAGUUAGGUUUGCUGGGUAAUAGCUCACUUGCUCCUUUCUAUUUUUACAAAAGCAGAUGAUUCUGUUACUAAGUAUUCCACAGUUUAAUUUGAUCUGCGUGUCCAUUUGCACUUCAGAAGUAUUAUGGACAUGGCCAAUUUUGGCUCCCAGACAAUACAAAAUUAUCAUGGAA
ensembl:lncRNA LINC02763 long intergenic non-protein coding RNA 2763